GUACACAUAGCCUUAUUUCUCUUUUAAACAUGAAACUUGGUUUAGGAUUUUUAUGACCAAUUGAGGCUUAUGGUUUAUUUGUUGAUUUUUGGAAUAAUUGAUGGAGAUUGAAAUUUGUUGGUGGGCUGCCGGAGGGAGAGGCCGGAAAAGGGGAAACAAGGGAGGCAGAGAGAGUGGACGAGGGAGAGAGAUAGAGGAGAAGAUGUGAAUAUGUACUGGGUGUGUGCGUGGGUGAGUAUGCCGCCGGCGACGGGGAGAGAGAUAGAGAGGGGUAACAGCGGCGGCGAGCCACCGGAGCAGUGGCGGCAGUGAAGAAGAAACGAGGGAGAAGGAUGGAGAGGGUGAGGGCAGUUUGGUAAUUGUGUAAUUGUGGUUAAAGAAUAAUGAGUUAACAAAUAAGGAUGCUAGAAUUAAAUUGAGAUUUUUUUAUAAAUAUUGGGAAUGAGAGUUCAGUAUAGUGGAAUUUGUGAAUUAAAGGAUAAUGUUGGAUUUAGUUUAAUAAUUAAUUGAGAAAUAUUCAUUUAUGAGUGGAUUGUAGGGAUCUUGUUUUAAAAGAAAAAGAAAUGAUAUUUGUUUGAUUAAUAAAUAAUUGAUCUAUGAGAAUCUAUAAUGUAAAAUUAGAUUGUUGAGAUGGGAUAAUUAUAUAAGUAUUAAGUGGGACCUUGAUUAAAGAAAGAAAUAAUUAUUCGAGUUUUUAUAUAAAAUCAAUUGUCUAUGUUAAUGGAAGUAGAAAUGUAGUGGAGAUGGAGAUUAGUAUAUACAAAAAUAAUAAGUAGAAGUCCUGGAAUGACGCAGUAAAAUUUAUAUUUAAGUAAAGUCAAAUUAAAAUUGUUAGUAUUGUUAGGGUUAUACUGAAAUAUUCGUUUGAAGUAUAUAAAAAUUAUUUGAGGAUCUUGAAUGCAUGUUUUCACAUUGUCUGUAUAUUAUAUAUUGUAGACAAUCUAGUAUCAAAUGGGAUAGCAGAAGAUUAGAUUGUCAGACUCCUUAUAUAUAAUAUAAUAAGGGUUCACAGUCGAGGUGGUGUUAGACAAACCACUGGAACGGCUGAAGUAUUAUUUGGAAAUAGUUUAUCUUGACUUUUGAAUAAUACUUAUAUACUUUGUGUAUAUUGAACGGGAUCAAAAUAGUAGAAUAAUUGUUUCUUUAAUUCUGACAAUAAAGAACUAAGAUUCUAUGAUGUUAUUAAUGCUUAAGUUCUUAA
rnacentral:lncRNA from 1 species